rnacentral:rRNA from 1 species
GGUAUGCUUAACACAUGCAAGUCGAACGGUAACAUUGGAGCUUGCUCCAGAUGACGAGUGGCGGACGGGUGAGUAAUGCGUAGGAAUCUGCCUAGUAGUGGGGGACAACAUGUGGAAACGCAUGCUAAUACCGCAUACGCCCUACGGGGGAAAGCGGGGGAUCUUCGGACCUCGCGCUAUUAGAUGAGCCUGCGUUAGAUUAGCUUGUUGGUGGGGUAAUGGCCUACCAAGGCGACGAUCUAUAGCUGGUCUGAGAGGACGAUCAGCCACACUGGGACUGAGACACGGCCCAGACUCCUACGGGAGGCAGCAGUGGGGAAUAUUGGACAAUGGGCGCAAGCCUGAUCCAGCAAUACCACGUGUGUGAAGAAGGCCUGAGGGUUGUAAAGCACUUUCAAUUGGGAGGAAAACAGCUGGGUUAAUAGCCCUGCUCUUGACAUUACCUU